GAAAUGCCUCCAUGAGAUCCAGCUGUAAAGCAUUUUCUCAAUUAGUGAUCAAUGGGGAAGGGCCCAGAACUUGUUGGGUGAGACCAUCCCCAGGCUGGUGGACCUG
rnacentral:miRNA from 1 species